GCUCGCAACGCGCAAGCGCAAAUUCAUUUUGGAACUGAAUUCUCGUGGGUCUGCAGUGCACUGACCGUUGCAGAGGGCAAUUGUUCAAAUUGAAAUUGAAAUUUUGUAGCACCAUGAGAUUCAGCUCUGGCGUGAAUUUCAAACAUGCAU
rnacentral:pre_miRNA from 1 species